UCGCGCGGGAAAUGUCGAAGCCGUGCGAUCUGUGGUAGCAUUAUGUAAUGUAUUCGUGGAGGAGUGCGAGCGCCUGACGUUCACUUGCUGCAGACGGCGUGUUGUUUCUCUUUUUACCGAACACUUUCCUACCACAGUCCAAUUUGAAAAUCUUAUUUCUUUCAGAAUGAAAAGGGGUGCUUUAAUUGUUUUUGAAGGUUGUGAUCGUGCAGGCAAGUCAACGCAAUGUCGAAAGCUUGUUAAAGCCCUCGAAACGAAAGGGAGAACAGCUGAGCUGAUCCGAUUUCCAGACAGAACCACUUUAACCGGCAAGACGAUUGAUGCUUACUUAGAGAAGAAAAUUGAACUGCAAGAUAAUGCAAUUCACCUAUUGUUCUCAGCAAAUCGAUGGGAACUAGUGCCAUAUAUGCAAAAACAGCUGAGUCAGGGUAAAACUCUGGUGGUUGACAGAUAUUCUUACUCUGGUGUUGCAUUCACAGCAGCGAAACAAGGUAUUGAUCUAUGUUGGUGCAAACAGCCAGAAGUCGGCCUCCCAAAACCAGACCUCGUGUUCUUUCUAGACAUCAGAGCGGGAGAUGCUGAGAAUAGGGCAAAUUUUGGAGAAGAACGUUAUGAAAGUGCCCUCUUCCAGAGCAAAGUGAAGGACAUCUUCUAUCAAUUAAAAGAUAGCAGUUGGAAGGUUCUUGAUGGAAGUCAGGGCAUUGAAGAUAUCCAUCAUCUGGUUCUACCAAUCGCAGAAGAUACUAUUGAUGGAGACUUACCAAACCCAAUGGACAAACUGUGGAGCUAGAGUUCUGCAGUGUUUGCAGUGGCACUGAACGUGUAAACUUUUCACAUGUAAUUUAACUGGAAAGAUCAUACCAAGCAUCAUCGGUUGCAUGAAUAUUAAACUUCCUGUACUUCAGGGCACAACAUUUUAAGGAUGCAGAUUACCAGCAAAAAAUUGCGGUGAUGAUCAUAGGGUAUAAAAGGUGCUUAUGGUUGUGAAACAGAUGGUGCGUAGCAAGCAUCCAAUGCGCUCUGGCUAUGGAUGUACCGGACACGCCGGAAAGCGGUAAUUGGCCAGAUGUUAUAGCCUGGGCAGUUUAAACUCCUCCAUGGUUUAACAUGGUAAAGUAUCAGUACACAUUAACCUUUUACAUCUCUACAAGUACAUGUAUACAUGUAUUUUAUUGAGAUUAGAAAUGUUGGCCAUUAUAGCGUGAUUUCUAAUCAAGCCUAAGUCAUUGCUCUUUGAAGCUGGAUCACAAACAAAAUGAGACUGCUUUUUAUACAUAAAGCAAGGUAAAAUACUAGCAUUUUGUACCUACACCUGUAGCAUACAAAAUAAGUGCAUACAUGAUGUUCAUGGCAUGUUUCUCACUCGGUCAUUUUAUGCAUGUAUAAGUACCCUAUUAACAAAUUCUUGUGAACUCUACUUUUGUCUAAACUUAAGAGUUAAGUUUCAAACCUGAUAUGCACUUUAUCCUUGGUAUGUGUGCACGUACUUGUCUCUCAAGGAAGUGUCUUCUCUAAGGGUGCAUGUACUGGCAGGUGUUAUACCGUGUUAAUUUCACCAAGGCUGAGACAUGGGGGUUUGUGAAUUUAAUCAAAUUCCUUGAUUUAACUUUCUUAAUUUAAGUUCAAAUUUGUUUAAUUUUGUCACAAAACAAAUAAAACUAUUACACAUGCAACUAAUAUGCUUGCUUUUGAAUAGACGUUUGAGCCAACUUAUCUCACAUUUUUAUAAACAUAAAAAAUCUGAUUUAAAUUUUAAAAAUCUGAUGUUUCUUAUUUAAAAAAAAAUCAACAACCCUGCCUAAAAUUGUUGUCUCUGAACAGAACAUGUGGAUCCAUCCUCAUUAUUUAAAACCUGUUCUGACUAAUAUUUGAAGGUGAAUUGUAAGGUGAUGUACAUCAAACAAUCCCAGUCAUAAUUUAUUAGUUGACAGUGAAAACUUUAUAACAUAGAUUCCUGCCAGUUGCGGGUAGUUCACAGAUAGUUAGUUCUGAUAUACUGGCAAUUAAAGUUCUUCUUUUACACUAUGUAUAUAGCUGCAGAUGACCCAUGACAACUUUAUACAGGUUUAUACAAACAAAAUGUAUUCAACAAAUAGAAGACUUUUGAGACACUUGAUAGCAAUACAUGUCCUGCUCUCAUGGCAGCGGUGCACUAAUGUUUGUCAUGUACAAUCAACAAAUGCAUGCUCAUAAUGAUGUUAACAAGAGUGGACUGGUCACAUUGGAUAAGUAUGUUUGCAGUUAUUAAAUAUCUUGAAAGUCUCAUGCCAUGACAAGGCAGCAUAUGUUAUGUUGAGCUGUAUGAUCAUGAUGGUGAACCAGGACAGGGUUAAAGCCACAGUUGUGUACACAUGUACCGGUACAUGUCUGGUGACUUAAUUCCUCUUCCCCCUUCCACUCGGCUGUGAAUUUUUUUUCACCUCAAAUUGUACAUACUAAUGCGCAGUGAUAUCGACUGAACACAACAGUGGGACACUUAACAAAAUAUGUAGAAUAUUCCCAAAAUGGUUUAUUAGGCAUUUCAUGUGGACAACUUAUUCAAUUACUCAACUUCAGGGGUUUGAAGUUCAUCAAAACAGCAUUUGUGUGAUGUAAUUGAAGGAAAUCGGAAAACAUGACGUCGUACAGUGCAAAAUAUGCCACUAUCCCGUACUACAUCGAUUUGCAAUUUAAAAACAAUCUAAUGAAGUUGCCGUGAUGAAAGUUAAAAGGAAGCUUGAUCAACAUCUAAACUACACACGAACAUGUGUUCUUUUCCCAGAAAAAUGCAGUAUUUGAGUGAAAUAAAGAAAAAAAGGUGGUUUGGGCCAUUUUUAGAAGGAAAAAGUUACAGUUUAAAAACCACAAUUUUGAUAAUUCCAAGCACAUUUGAAAUGUUCAAACAAGAAUCCUCACAUUUAAAGUAAAACUUUCACUUUGAAUUUAAAUGAUAAACUUUUGUAGCCCAAUCACCAUAUAUUUAUCAGUAUUAGAAAAGUUCGUUUACUUUCGUUGCUCAAACCGCCCGAAAACAAGAAAACAAAAUUUCGGUAGCGAAUAUACGUGACUUGCACUAAAAACAUACAUUUAAAACUUACAAACUUACAUUUAAACAUUUUGAUACAAAACAUAAACACAGUAUUUAACCAGCUCACGCUGGAUUACCUUAAAGUUUCUGUCGAGGGGUUCUCCAACUGGUUAAUUAAGGAAUAGGGAAAUAUAUAUAUAUAAACGUUAAAAAUGCAAAGACUGAAAUCCUAUAAAACAAAUACACGUGUAAACCCAAUAUGCGGGCUUUUGUUAUAAGCGCACAUUGUUUCUUUUGAACCCCAAAUGUGAUAAAUACUUAAACUGUCAUUUGAAGAUUUGAGUGAGAUCAUAGCGUGAUUAUCUUGGACGGAGAUUUCUUGUUACGUUGGAGGGAUGAGUUCUGAAAGAUCGUUCUUCUGCAGAGCUGAACAUGGCAGGGUCCUACUUCGAUUAGGGGAAGGUAUAAUCAGUGCCAGAGAAGUGUAGGGGGCCAUAUUGGUAAUCCUCUAGUUUAAAAAAUGAGGGAGGUGCCCAUCCCCGAGAUUCCACCCAUGGUCAUCAAGAUCAAGUCGCUGCAGGCCCAUAAACUCGAAAUUUCUCAGGCCAGUAUAUCCAGAAUCGGAGGUCCGUCUCCAAUGACACUCGACAUGGACCCAAACCUGGAUGUAUCACAGACUACAUUUAUAUCCGGUGACCGGAAUCAAAGCCAUGACCACGCUUUCAUCCUGUCCUUACACAGGGAAUACGCGUACAUGUAGCCUAUGUUAUAUAUGUUUCACCAACAGAGCACUGUGACAUGUCAAAAGGUGUGCAUGUAUUCACAUUAAACUGUGCUUGAUGAGUGUGAUGGGCUCCCACAGGAAUGGAAUCUAAAGUGAUUCUGGUAUUAUGAUUUCAUCAGCAGAAUGUUUAGGUUUUUUACACAUUUUUCAACUGCCAGAAUGGUAAAGAAUUUGGUCACUUCACAAAAUGAAACUUGGUCCAAGCAAAGACCAUAUUGCAUAGAUGAACUUAGAAGCAUCAUUUUUGCAGUCUCGCGUCAACACCUGGAUUCGAUCGGGAUGAUGUUUUCGACAGGCCCGUGUGUUUUCUCAGGGUAAUUGGUCACUUCGGCACCUUGCCAGCACGGCACCCGCCAACUCGGCACCUACACUAAAACUUCGAUAACGAGCUUUCAUAGAAUUGCCAAGACGAAGCAAGGGUUAUUUUUCUCUGUUUAAAAUUAAAAUCGGACUAUAAUUUCAAAAAUGGGUUUCCUUCAAUCUUCCCUUUUACGUAAGAAACUCGUUCCUUUAUGAAUUUCCACGUUGUAAUAAUUGCGUUGCCAUAACCCUUACAAAAAUGUCCCAUGAGAGUAUCCGAUGGGAAAAUUUCCCAUGGGAUUACAUGGUGAAUUUGCCACCAUGUAGCGUGGGAUUUUGCCCAUGCGUAUUUCAAGAACCCCAUGUAAUCUCGCAAAAUAUUCCCAUAUUUCAUAUUUUUUAUAUUUUAAAUAUUUCAUUGGUG